UUAGUGGAAGCGUCUGGAAAGGCGCGCGAUACAGGGUGACAGCCCCGUACACAAAAGCGCAUGUGCUGUGAGCUCGAUGAGUAGGGCGGGACACGUGGUAUCCUGUCUGAAUAUGGGGGGACCAUCCUCCAAGGCUAAAUACUCCUGACUGACCGAUAGUGAACCAGUACCGUGAGGGAAAGGCGAAAAGAACCCCGGCGAGGGGAGUGAAAAAGAACCUGAAACCGUGUACGUACAAGCAGUGGGAGCCCCACCACCAAAGCAUUCUCUGGUGUUGAAGGCCCUGCAAAGCAGCAUCGCGGUGGCGGAGCGUCGUUUGCGACGCCCAACACACAAAACAAGCGGUGAGUGCUUUGGGGUGGGGUGACUGCGUACCUUUUGUAUAAUGGGUCAGCGACUUAUAUUCUGUAGCAAGGUUAACCGAAUAGGGGAGCCGGAGGGAAACCGAGUCUUAAUUGGGCGUUAAGUUGCAGGGUAUAGACCCGAAACCCGGUGAUCUAGCCAUGGGCAGGUUGAAGGUUGGGUAACACUAACUGGAGGACCGAACCGACUAAUGUUGAAAAAUUAGCGGAUGACCUGUGGCUGGGGGUGAAAGGCCAAUCAAACCGGGAGAUAGCUGGUUCUCCCCGAAAGCUAUUUAGGUAGCGCCUCGUGAAUUCAUCUCCGGGGGUAGAGCACUGUUUCGGCUAGGGGGCCAUCCCGGCUUACCAACCCGAUGCAAACUGCGAAUACCGGAGAAUGUUAUCACGGGAGACACACGGCGGGUGCUAACGUCCGUCGUGAAGAGGGAAACAACCCAGACCGCCAGCUAAGGUCCCAAAGUCAUGGUUAAGUGGGAAACGAUGUGGGAAGGCCCAGACAGCCAGGAUGUUGGCUUAGAAGCAGCCAUCAUUUAAAGAAAGCGUAAUAGCUCACUGGUCGAGUCGGCCUGCGCGGAAGAUGUAACGGGGCUAAACCAUGCACCGAAGCUGCGGCAGCGAAGUCGAUGGGAAACGGGUUAAUAUUCCCGUACUUGGUGUUACUGCGAAGGGGGGACGGAGAAGGCUAUGUUGGCCGGGCGACGGUUGUCCCGGUUUAAGCGUGUAGG
rnacentral:rRNA from 1 species